rnacentral:rRNA from 1 species
GGGGAAUUUUGGACAAUGGGCGCAAGCCUGAUCCAGCAAUGCCGCGUGCAGGAUGAAGGCCUUCGGGUUGUAAACUGCUUUUGUACGGAACGAAAAGCCUCUCUCUAAUACAGGGGGGUGAUGACGGUACCGUAAGAAUAAGCACCGGCUAACUACGUGCCAGCAGCCGCGGUAAUACGUAGGGUGCAAGCGUUAAUCGGAAUUACUGGGCGUAAAGCGUGCGCAGGCGGUUUUGUAAGACAGUGGUGAAAUCCCCGGGCUCAACCUGGGAACUGCCAUUGUGACUGCAAGGCUGGAGUGCGGCAGAGGGGGAUGGAAUUCCGCGUGUAGCAGUGAAAUGCGUAGAUAUGCGGAGGAACACCGAUGGCGAAGGCAAUCCCCUGGGCCUGCACUGACGCUCAUGCACGAAAGCGUGGGGAGCAAACA